GAUCCAGUGGCCCUGAGGGACCAACACAAUGUAAGGAGCUGGACCUUGUGCACUCUUGCUCCUCUCUUGCUGCCUCCUUAUCUAACUUCUGCUCAGUCACCUCUGCAUUCUACCUGUAGAAAAGUGACUCAACAUCAUUCCAGAAGUCCGGAAUUCUACAAGAAUCAUCUGAUGUCAAAAAUAACUGAGAACAAUCUGAACAGGAGAGGAAGAUAGAAGUAACUAUGAAAGAUUACAGAGAUUAGAAAGAGCCACUGUACUUGAAAGAAAGCAAUCAUCUCUGAGAGCUCUUCAAUUACAACGAAAUUGUCAGCUAGAUAGAAGGAAUUAAUACUAGUGUUUGAUACCACCUUACGAUGACUAUAGGAGAACAGUAUUCUAUUUAGCCAGCCACAACAUUUGAACAUCAUCUUUCGAAUCAAAGGCAAAAAGCAAAGAAAACCUCCAG